AACGAACGCUGGCGGCAUGCUUUACACAUGCAAGUCGAACGGUAACAGACCGCAAGGUGCUGACGAGUGGCGAACGGGUGAGUAAUGCAUCGGAACGUGCCCAGUCGUGGGGGAUAACGCAGCGAAAGCUGCGCUAAUACCGCAUACGAUCUAUGGAUGAAAGCGGGGGACCGUAAGGCCUCGCGCGAUUGGAGCGGCCG
rnacentral:rRNA from 1 species